ACGACCUUACUUGAACAGGAUCUGUUCUAUAGGCUCGUACCUCUGUAUCCUUGAGUUCAAAGGAGACAGGAACAUAAGUCUGGUUGAUGAGGCGUGGCUAUGUGAUCAGAGCGUGAUUAACAGCUUCGAUGGGUUAAAUGACUCAUGAAGCGGUAUAGGAUCGUUCCCAUGGCUGGUUAACAGUCCUGGGGUGGUCACACAGCUGUCUGACAGACU